AUUGCUUCUUGGUCUGUUGGCUAAGAUCAAGUGCAGUAUCUGUUCUUAUCCAUGGUCUCAAGUGGCAGAGACUAAAGCUCUUAUUUAUAGAUGUUUUCAAUAUGCACUAUAUGUCCCAACUAAAAUCUUCAGCUUGUGGCAGUUCUAGUCAGGUAAGAUUAAAACAA
ensembl:snRNA U2 U2 spliceosomal RNA